CAGUAAUCAGGCAACUGUUGAGCUUGGGGCGGUAGCGUG
rfam:Kluyvera ascorbata ATCC 33433 GKAS.assembly.048, whole genome shotgun sequence.